rnacentral:rRNA from 1 species
ACGAACGCUGGCGGCACGCUUAACACAUGCAAGUCGAACGAGAGAAGAGAAGCUUGCUUUUCUGAUCUAGUGGCGGACGGGUGAGUAACACGUGAGCAAUCUGCCUUUCAGAGGGGGAUACCGAUUGGAAACGAUCGUUAAUACCGCAUAAUAUAAUUGAACCGCAUGAUUUGAUUAUCAAAGAUUUAUCGCUGAAAGAUGAGCUCGCGUCUGAUUGGCUAGUUGGUAAGGUAACGGCUUACCAAGGCGACGAUCAGUAGCCGGACUGAGAGGUUGAUCGGCCACAUUGGGACUGAGACACGGCCCAGACUCCUACGGGAGGCAGCAGUGGGGAAUAUUGCACAAUGGAGGAAACUCUGAUGCAGCGAUGCCGCGUGAGGGAAGAAGGUUUUAGGAUUGUAAACCUCUGUCUUCAGGGACGAAAAAUGACGGUACCUGAGGAGGAAGCUCCGGCUAACUACGUGCCAGCAGCCGCGGUAAUACGUAGGGAGCGAGCGUUGUCCGGAAUUACUGGGUGUAAAGGGAGCGUAGGCGGGAUCGCAAGUCAGAUGUGAAAACUAUGGGCUUAACCCAUAAACUGCAUUUGAAACUGUGGUUCUUGAGUGAAGUAGAGGUAAGCGGAAUUCCUAGUGUAGCGGUGAAAUGCGUAGAUAUUAGGAGGAACAUCAGUGGCGAAGGCGGCUUACUGGGCUUUAACUGACGCUGAGGCUCGAAAGCGUGGGGAGCAAACAGGAUUAGAUACCCUGGUAGUCCACGCCGUAAACGAUGAUUACUAGGUGUGGGGGGACUGACCCCUUCCGUGCCGCAGCAAACGCAAUAAGUAAUCCACCUGGGGAGUACGACCGCAAGGUUGAAACUCAAAGGAAUUGACGGGGGCCCGCACAAGCAGUGGAGUAUGUGGAUUAAUUCGAAGCAACGCGAAGAACCUUACCAGGUCUUGACAUCGUAUGCAUAGCUCAGAGAUGAGUGAAAUCUCUUCGGAGACAUAUAGACAGGUGGUGCAUGGUUGUCGUCAGCUCGUGUCGUGAGAUGUUGGGUUAAGUCCCGCAACGAGCGCAACCCUUACUGUUAGUUGCUACGCAAGAGCACUCUAGCAGGACUGCCGUUGACAAAACGGAGGAAGGUGGGGAUGACGUCAAAUCAUCAUGCCCCUUAUGACCUGGGCCUCACACGUACUACAAUGGCUGUCAACAGAGGGAAGCAAAGCCGCGAGGUGGAGCAAACCCCUAAAAGCAGUCUUAGUUCGGAUUGUAGGCUGCAACCCGCCUACAUGAAGUCGGAAUUGCUAGUAAUCGCAGAUCAGCAUGCUGCGGUGAAUACGUUCCCGGGCCUUGUACACACCGCCCGUCACGCCAUGGGAGUCGGUAACACCCGAAGCCUGUAGUCUAACCGCAAGGAGGACGCAGUCGAAGGUGGGAUUGAUGACUGGGGUG